rnacentral:siRNA from 1 species
AAGAUGAGAAUUGUCAUGAUGGGU